AUGGCGAAUUACAGUGGGCAGUCAGCGAGCUCAUUGUCAGCCAUUUCAGAAUGAGGUGGAAGCAGUGAUUGAUAAAGGUAAACCUGAUCAAACGUAGGUUUAAAAAUAAAAGAAUGCAAAAUGAAUGUCAAAAUCACUAAGUGAUAGUAGCUAUUAGCAUAUAUGCUGAAUUCCAAAAAAAUACUAAGCCUAGCAAAAGUAUUGCAAAUAGGCAAAAAAAAGUAGCGUAGGCUAGUGAUAAGACACAAAGAAGCCCGUGGACGGUCAGCUCAAAGAAAUUCCCGAACGGGAAAGAAAAGUAGGCUAACGCGUUAGCAUUUGUGAGUUGUGACAUUCGUCCGAUUAUUCAAGCACAGUAAUAAAAAGACUGAAAACAGAAGAAGAAGAAGAACUGAAAUUGUAUAAAAACUCACCAGACAUGUUGGCUGAAAGAAGUCAAAAAACGCUGGAAGAGAAGUUGCUAUGGAAGUCUUCUGCCUAUCUGCUCUUGGCUCAAUUAUAUGGGCUAGAACGAAAUAUUUACAAAAGUAACAAAAAGUCUCAACACAAACCUCUGACACAAGGUUGAGGACAUGCAAUAAUAUUGUAAUAUAGCUAGGGAAAUAUUAGUUUGAGUUUUUCUCUCCCCAUGCCUACUAUUUAAAACCUCUAGAACUCAAUGAUUUGACAAUCAAUGAUUGCGCGAUACUUUCAAUUUGAAUAUUCAAAGGCUUCAUAAAAAGAGUCAGAUUUUAGUAGUCCCCAAUAUAUUAAUACCUGAAUUAAGAUGCCCUUUAAUAGAAAUUGAUGUGAUUGUACACCUAGAUCAAAAAUAAAGUGAUAUUUUUGACAUUUUA